GCCUUCCGUCACUUCCCUAGAAACCCUGUCUCUGUCUUAUAUAUCAUUAAGGGCGUCCACUCUUUCAUGCCCAUUGAUUUCUGUGAAUUUGUCGACUUCUAGAAGCAUCACAACUAAAGCUUCACCUUGACUUUCAACUCUUUCAAGCGGAACCUCCAAGGCCUUGCGUGGUUUGUUGGGAGCAGUGAGCAGAGCCCGGCAUAUGGACCUGAGCUGCGGGUAACGUCUGCACUUGCCCUUCUACUACUGCUCUUGGUGAUGACGGCUGCCAGCCGUCCAGCGCCUUCUCUCAGCCUGUGUUCCACGUGACGUCCUCCGUGUCCUACCGUGCGCACGGAUGGCGUCUUUCUAGAGCAGUACUCGAAUAAUCUCAAACCGAUCUGGUUGAUUAUGAAACACCGGAUGUGUAGUGAAAAGAGCCUCUGCAUAUGAAAACAGUUGUGUUUCAGUGCGAAAAAGAGCAAAACAUAAAACUGCAACGUGAAAUAAACAGACUUAAGGAGCUACUUAGAAGAAACAGCAACACUUAAUGUGUACGGACCUAACAAGAGAGUGUCAAAGUUGUGAAACAAAACCGACUGAACUACAAGGAGGAGUAGAUGAAUCCAUUACUAUAGCUGAAGGCUUGAACAGGCAGAAAAUUGGCAAAGGACAACUGAAGUCAGCGCCGCCAUCAAUGAACUGGACAUAGUUGACGUAAAUAGAAAACUUCACCCAGAACAGAAUACACAUUCUUCUCAAAUUCACACGGGACAUUGAGAAGGAUGCUGGACAUUCUGAGGCAUAGAUACAUGCCAACACAUUUAAAA